rnacentral:rRNA from 1 species
CGGCAACAGCUCAAAUUUGAAAUCUGGCCCCUAGGGUCCGAGUUGUAAUUUGCAGAGGAUGCUUUUGACAAGGUGCCUUCCGAGUUCCCUGGAACGGGCCGUCAUAGAGGGUGAGAAUCCCGUCUGGGAUGGGGUGUCCACGCCCGUGUGAAGCUCCUUCGAC